rnacentral:ncRNA from 1 species
UAAAAGUUUGAUUUUAGCUUUGUUAUUUAUGUUAUAAUUUUUUUGCAUGUAAAUUUUUGUGUGAAUAAAAAUUUAAUUAAAAAUUAAAUUUUAUUAGUUAAGUUAUUAAAUUUAUUAAUUGCAGUAUUUAAUUUUAAUAAUUAAAUAAAUUUAGAAUUAUAAAUUAUAAGAUUAUAAAUAAAAAAUGUGCCAGCAAUUGCGGUUAUACAUUUUAUAUGAGUAAAUAUUUUUUAUUUUUUAAUAUUUAUAAAUACAGUAUUUAUAUUAAAUUAUUUUAAAUAAACUUAAAUUAGGUGAAAUUAUUUUAUUUUUUUAAAAAUAUAUUAAUUUUUAAAUUAUUAUGAAAUCUUAUUUUUAAACUAGGAUUAGAUACCCUAUUAUUUAAGAUUUAAAUUUUAGUAAGAUUUUAGAAUAGUAAUAGUUAUGAGCUUUAAAUUUAAAAAAAUUGGCGGUAUUUAAAACUAAUUAGGGGAAUUUGUCUUUUAAAUGAUAAUCCUCAAGAUACCUUACUUUUAUUAAAAAUUUAUUUAUUGCCGUUAUCAGAAUAUUUUAUUAGAAAUUAAAAUUUUCUUAAAUAUUAAUUAAAUAUUUAUUUCAGGUCAUUAUGUAGUGUAUGUAAAAGUUAAGAUGAAUUACAAUGAUUUUAAAUUAUUAUGAAUAUUAAUUUGCAAUAGUUAAUUGAAGGUGGACUUAAUAGUAAAAUAAUAAAAUUAAAUUUUUUUGAAAUUAGAAUUAAAUAUGUACAUAUCGCCCGUCGCUCUCGUUUUUAAUAUGAGAUAAGUCGUAACAAAGUAGAUGUACUGGAAAGUGUAUCUGGAAAGUAAUAAAAUUAUUU